GACAGAGCGCGCGGGCGUUAUUCGUUUUGAUUGGGUGUAAAGGGUACGUAGGCUGCUGCUGAAAUUUUUGGUCUAAAUCGCGGAGUGUUCCUACGCGUCAAUCUUUUAAAGACGCAGCUUGAAUUGAAAAGAGGUUGGGGCAAUUUCUUGUGAAGGGGUAAAAUCCUACUAGAUAAGAAAGAACACCGGUUGGCGAAGGCGCCUUUCUAAUUUCAAUUGACGCUAAGGUACGGAAGCCUGGGUAGCAAAUAGG
rnacentral:rRNA from 1 species